GCUAGGGCUGUGGCUCAGUGUACAGCUUCUGGUUGGAAUUCAGAAGGUCCCAGGUUUGAUCCCUGACCCUGGCA
rnacentral:tRNA from 1 species